rnacentral:rRNA from 1 species
GACGUAGGGCGCGAGCGUUGUCCGGAUUUAUUGGGCGUAAAGAGCUCGUAGGCGGCUUGUUGCGUCGACUGUGAAAACCCGCGGCUCAACCGUGUGGCUUGCAGUCGAUACGGGCAGGCUAGAAUUCGGUAGGGGAGACUGGAAUUCCUGGUGUAGCGGUGAAAUGACGCAGAUAUCAGGAGGAACACCGGUGGCGAAGGCGGGUCUCUGGGCCGGAUAUUGACGCUGGAGGAGCGAAAGCGUGGGGAGCGAACAGG